rnacentral:piRNA from 1 species
GAACAGGAGCGUCCAGAAAGAAAGAUCCUU